GUAAUAAUUUUGUCUUCUUUCAGACUUAUCACAUACUGCUAUCACAUUCUCUAUCGGGAAUGAGAAUGGAGCAAAUUCAAUUGGACGGGCUUUCAAUUGUUUGCCCACAAUCAUACAUGAAUUUAAUCAUGACAAGUAUAGAAAUUUUACCAUUUUGGAUGGUUAUAAUAUCUUUCAAACUCCAUUAUAGUUGGAAUAAAAAUUUAUCAUCUUUACUUAUAUGUAAAAUUAAUUUAUAGAAUGUCAAGAAUUUGAAAGAGAAAAGUAAAAUACUUACCUUAAAUCC
rnacentral:lncRNA from 1 species